GUGGUUGUAGCUCAAAGUUAGAGCACUGCCCUGUGGAGGCAGAUGUUGCGGGUCCGAUCCCCGUCAGCCACC
rnacentral:tRNA from 1 species